GAUUAACGCGAAGAACCUUACCAAGGCUUGACAUGUAGCUGCAUCGCCAAGAAAUUGGCGCGCCUUCGAGGGUGCUACACAGGUGCUGCACGGUUGUCGUCAGCUCGUGCCGUGAGGUGUUCACUUAAGUGUGAAAACGAGCGCAACCCCUACGGUGAGUUACAAGUGUCUCACAGAACUGCCCGCGUUUAAGCGGGAGGAAGGUGGGGAUGACGUCAAAUCAGCGUGGCUCUUACGCCUUGGGCGACACACGUGCUACAAUGGGAAGGACAAAGGGACGCCAAGGGGUAACCCGGAGCAAAUCCUAUCAAUACUUCCCCCAGUUCGGAUUGAGGGCUGCAACUCGCCCUCAUGAAGCCGGAAUCGCUAGUAACCGUGAAUCAGCCUCGUCACGGUGAAUACGUUACCCAGGCCUUGUACACACCGAAUC
rnacentral:rRNA from 1 species